rnacentral:rRNA from 1 species
GACGAACGCUGGCGGCGUGCCUAAUACAUGCAAGUCGAGCGCUGAAAGGUGGUACUUGUACCAACUACAUUAGCAGCGGACGGGUGAGUAACACGUGGGUAAUCUACCUAUAAGCCUGGGACAACUUUUGGAAACGAGUGCUAAUACCGCAUAAAAUCUUUAACCACAAGUUUCAAUUUUGAAAGAUGCUAUUGCUUCACUUAAAGAUUAUACCGCGUUGUAUUAACUAGGUUGUUAGGUAAAGGCUCACCAAGGCGAUGAUACAUAACCGAACUGGGGGGGUGAACGGCCCAAUUGGGACUGGGACAACGGUCAAACUUCUAAGGGAGGGAGCAGGAAGGAAUUCUCGGGAAAGGAGGGAAGUCUGAACGAGGCACGGCGGGUGAGUGAAGGAGGUUUUCGGAUCGUAAAAACCUGUUGGUUGGGAAGAACGAAGGUGAGAGUGGACAGCUCACCAAUUGACGGUAACUACUCAGAAAGGGACGGCUAACUACGUG